rnacentral:rRNA from 1 species
GACGAACGCUGGCGGCGUGCUUAACACAUGCAAGUCGAACGGAAAGGCCCUGCUUUUGUGGGGUGCUCGAGUGGCGAACGGGUGAGUAACACGUGAGUAACCUGCCCUUGACUUUGGGAUAACUUCAGGAAACUGGGGCUAAUACCGGAUAGGAGCUCCUGCUGCAUGGUGGGGGUUGGAAAGUUUCGGCGGAUGGGGAUGGACUCGGGGCUUAUCAGCUUGUUGGUGGGGUAGUGGCUUACCAAGGCUUUGACGGGUAGCCGGCCUGAGAGGGUGACCGGCCACAUUGGGACUGAGAUACGGCCCAGACUCCUACGGGAGGCAGCAGUGGGGAAUAUUGCACAAUGGGCGGAAGCCUGAUGCAGCAACGCCGCGUGCGGGAUGACGGCCUUCGGGUUGUAAACCGCUUUCGCCUGUGACGAAGCGUGAGUGACGGUAAUGGGUAAAGAAGCACCGGCUAACUACGUG